rnacentral:rRNA from 1 species
AGCAGCCGCGGUAAUUCCAGCUCCAAUAGCGUAUAUUAAAGUUGUUGCAGUUAAAAAGCUCGUAGUUGAACCUCGGGAUCAAUUGAUUGGUCAUGCCAUUGGUAUGUACUGGUCAUAUUGGUUCUCACCUUCUAAGGAACCUUAAUGUCAUUAAUUUGAUGUUUUGGGGAAUUAGGACUGUUACCUUGAAAAAUUAGAGUGUUUAAAGCAGGCUAACGCUUGAAUACAUUAGCAUGGAAUAAUGAAAUAGGACAUCGCAUUCUAUUUUGUUGGUUUCUAGGAUCGAUGUAAUGAUUAAUAGGGAUAGUUGGGGGCAUUAGUAUUCAAUUGUCAGAGGUGAAAUUCUUGGAUUUUAUUGAAGACUAACUACUGCGAAAGCAUUUGCCAAGGAUGUUUUCAUUAUCAAGACGAAAGUUAGGGGAUCGAAGACGAUCAGAUACCGUCGUAGUC